GACGAACGCUGGCGGCGUGCUUAACACAUGCAAGUCGAACGGAAAGGCCCUGCUUUUGUGGGGUGCUCGAGUGGCGAACGGGUGAGUAACACGUGAGUAACCUGCCCUUGACUUUGGGAUAACUUCAGGAAACUGGGGCUAAUACCGGAUAGGAGCUCCUGCUGCAUGGUGGGGGUUGGAAAGUUUCGGCGGUUGGGGAUGGACUCGCGGCUUAUCAGCUUGUUGGUGGGGUAGUGGCUUACCAAGGCUUUGACGGGUCGCCGGCCUGAGAGGGUGACCGGCAACAUUGGGCCUGGGAUACGGCCCAGACUCCUACGGGAGGCAGCAGUGGGGAAUAUUGAACAAUGGGCGGAGGCCUGAGGCAGCAACGCCGCGUGCGGGAGGACGGCCUUCGGGUUGUAACCCGCUUUCGCCUGUGACGAAGCGUGAGUGACGGUAGUGGGUAAAGAAGCACCGGCUAACUACGUG
rnacentral:rRNA from 1 species